rnacentral:rRNA from 1 species
UGCUCCUUGAUUCAGCGGCGGACGGGUGAGUAAUGCCUAGGAAUCUGCCUGGUAGUGGGGGACAACGUUUCGAAAGGAACGCUAAUACCGCAUACGUCCUACGGGAGAAAGCAGGGGACCUUCGGGCCUUGCGCUAUCAGAUGAGCCUAGGUCGGAUUAGCUAGUUGGUGGGGUAAUGGCUCACCAAGGCGACGAUCCGUAACUGGUCUGAGAGGAUGAUCAGUCACACUGGAACUGAGACACGGUCCAGACUCCUACGGGAGGCAGCAGUGGGGAAUAUUGGACAAUGGGCGAAAGCCUGAUCCAGCCAUGCCGCGUGUGUGAAGAAGGUCUUCGGAUUGUAAAGCACUUUAAGUUGGGAGGAAGGGCAGUAAGCUAAUACCUUGCUGUUUUGACGUUACC